rnacentral:rRNA from 1 species
ACGGGUGCGUAACGCGUAGGAAUCUGCCUUGAAGCGGGGGACAACCCGAGGAAACUCGGGCUAAUACCGCAUAAUAUCGAGAGAUUAAAGCUGGGUAGCAAUACCUGGCACUUCAAGAGGAGCCUGCGUCCGAUUAGCUAGUUGGUAGGGUAAAGGCCUACCAAGGCGAUGAUCGGUAGCUGGUCUGAGAGGAUGAUCAGCCACACUGGGACUGAGACACGGCCCAGACUCCUACGGGAGGCAGCAGUGGGGAAUAUUGGACAAUGGGGGCAACCCUGAUCCAGCAAUGCCGCGUGUGUGAAGAAGGCCUUCGGGUUGUAAAGCACUUUAGUUGGGGAGGAAGAUGUGUAUUUUAAGAGAUAACACAUUUGACUGUACCCAAAGAAUAAGCACCGGCUAACUCUGUGCCAGCAGCCGCGGUAAUACAGAGGGUGCGAGCGUUAAUCGGAAUUACUGGGCGUAAAGGGCGCGUAGGCGGUUAUAUAAGUUAGAUGUGAAAUCCCUGGGCUUAACCUAGGAACUGCAUCUAAUACUGUAUGACUAGAGUGUAGUAGAGGGUAGUGGAAUUUCCGGUGUAGC